rnacentral:rRNA from 1 species
CCUACGGGCGGCAGCAGUGAGGAAUAUUGGUCAAUGGACCAGAGUCUGAACCAGCCAAGUAGCGUGAAGGAUGACUGCCCUAUGGGUUUUAAACUUCUUUUUUAAAGAACUACAACGAGGCACGUGUGCCUUUUUGCAUGUACUUUAUGCAUUAAGAUCGGCUAACUCCUGGCCAGCAGCCGCGGUAAUACGGAGUGUCCGAGCGUUCUCCGGAUUUAUUGGGUUUAAAGGGAGCGUAGAUGGGUUGGUAAGUCAGUUGUGAAAGUUUGCGGCUCAACCGUAAAAUUGCAAUUGAUACGGGUAGUCUUGAGGACAGAUGAGGUAGGCGGAAUGCGUGGUGUAGCGGUGAAAUGCUUAGAUAUAACGAAGAACACCGAUUGCGAAGGCAGCUUACUAAACUGUGACUGACAUUGAUGCUCGAAAGUGUGGGGAUCAAACAGGAUUAGAUACCCGAGUAGUC